CUUGCAUUGGCUAACAGGGGCCCAUGGUUUGUCCGAUGGAUAGCUGAGGCCUUCUCAUGGACCUAGGAUAAAAGCCAUGUUGCACGAGAGGAGGCAUUUCUUAAUGCAGCAUAUUGCAUGUUUUUCUAUUUUUGAUUAGGUAUAAAAUCUUCGCUUUAGGCGGUGCUAACCAUAAAAGUGAAAAAGACACUAGUAACCUGACAAUAUAGUUUUUAAUGCGUGAAAGGAAC